rnacentral:rRNA from 1 species
UAGAUACCCCAGUAGUCCUAGCAGUAAACGAUGGAUACUAAGUGCUGUGCGUAUCGACCCGCGCAGUGCUGUAGCUAACGCGUUAAGUAUCCCGCCUGGGGAGUACGUUCGCAAGAAUGAAACUCAAAGGAAUUGACGGGGGCCCGCACAAGCGGUGGAGCAUGUGGUUCAAUUCGAUGCAAAGCGAAGAACCUUACCAGGGCUUGACAUGCCGUGAAUCCUCCCGAAAGAGAGGAGUGCCUUCGGGAACGCGGACACAGGUGGUGCAUGGCUGUCGUCAGCUCG